rnacentral:rRNA from 1 species
UUAAACUUGAGAGUUUGAUCCUGGCUCAGAACGAACGCUGGCGGCAGGCUUAACACAUGCAAGUCGAACGCCCCGCAAGGGGAGUGGCAGACG